GGAUAACGUGCCCUAGAGUGGAGGAUAAUCUCGGGAAAUUGAGGAUAAUACUCCAUAGAUCAUGAAUUCUGGAACGACUCAUGGUUGAAAGUUCCGGCGCUCUAGGAUCGGUCUGCGGCCUAUCAGGUAGUAGUGGGUGUAACGGACCCACUAGCCGACGACGGGUAUGGGCCUUGAGAGAGGGAGCCCAGAGAUGGAAUCUGAGACACGAUUCCAGGCCCUACGGGGCGCAGCAGUCGCGAAAACUUCACAAUGGAGGCAACUCCGAUGAGGGAAUUCCAAGUGCUAGCACAUUAGUGUUAGCUUUUCUUAAGCAUAGAUAACUUAAGGAAUAAGGGCUGGGUAAGACGGGUGCCAGCCGCCGCGGUAAUACCCGCAGCCCAAGUGGUGGUCGAUUUUAUUGAGUCUAAAACGUUCGUAGCCGGUUCAUUAAAUCCUUGGGUAAAUCGGAUAGCUUAACUACCCGAAUUCCGGGGAGACUGGUGAACUUGGGACCGGGAGAGGCAAGAGGUACUUUUGGGGUAGGGGUAAAAUCCUGUAAUCCUAAAAGGACCACCGGUGGCGAAGGCGUCUUGCUAGAACGGAUCCGACGGUGAGGGACGAAGCCCUGGGUCGCAAACGGGAUUAGAUACCCCGGUAGUCCAGGGUGUAAACGCUGCAGACUUGGUGUUGGGGACCCUUCGGGGGUGUUCAGUGCCGGAGAGAAGUUGUUAAGUCUGCUACUUGGGGAGUACGUCCGCAAGGAUGAAACUUA
rnacentral:rRNA from 1 species